GAUAAAAUGUGGUGCGGUUUUA
rnacentral:siRNA from 1 species